rnacentral:rRNA from 1 species
CCUACGGGAGGCAGCAGUGGAGAAUAUUGGACAAUGGGGGCAACCCUGAUCCAGCCAUGCCGCGUGUGUGAAGAAGGCCCUCGGGUUGUAAAGCACUUUCAGUGAGGAAGAACGCCUGGUGGUUAAUACCCAUCAGGAAAGACAUCACUCACAGAAGAAGCACCGGCUAACUCCGUGCCAGCAGCCGCGGUAAUACGGAGGGUGCGAGCGUUAAUCGGAAUUACUGGGCGUAAAGCGCGCGUAGGUGGCUUGAUAAGCCGGUUGUGAAAGCCCCGGGCUCAACCUGGGAACGGCAUCCGGAACUGUCAAGCUAGAGUGCAGGAGAGGAAGGUAGAAUUCCCGGUGUAGCGGUGAAAUGCGUAGAGAUCGGGAGGAAUACCAGUGGCGAAGGCGGCCUUCUGGACUGACACUGACACUGAGGUGCGAAAGCGUGGGUAGCAAACAGGAUUAGAUACCCCUGUAGUC